AAUCUUGCACAAUGGGGGAAACCCUGAUGCAGCGACGCCGCGUGAGCGAUGAAGCCCUUCGGGGUGUAAAGCUCUUUCGGCAGGAAAGAUAAUGACGGUACCUGCAGAAGAAGCUGCGGCUAACUACGUGCCAGCAGCCGCGGUAAUACGUAGGCAGCGAGCGUUGUUCGGAGUUACUGGGCGUAAAGAGUGUGUAGGCGGUUUGCCAAGUUCGGUGUGAAAUCUCCCGGCUUAACUGGGAGGGUGCGCCGAAUACUGGCAGGCUAGAGUGCGGGAGAGGAAAGCGGAAUUCCUGGUGUAGCGGUGAAAUGCGUAGAUAUCAGGAGGAACACCUGCGGUGUAGACGGCUUUCUGGACCGCCACUGACGCUGAGACACGAAAGCGUGGGUAGCAA
rnacentral:rRNA from 1 species